CCUGCGAGUCUUUGCAGUAAUGCAAGGCAUACGGCUCAGUAACACGUAGUCAACCUACCCUAUGGACGAGAAUAAUCUCGGGAAACUGAGCAUAAUUCUUGAUAGAUCAUAAUGCCUGGAAUGGUUUAUGGUUAAAAUGAUUCGUCGCCAUAGGAUGGGACUGCGGCCUAUCAGCUUGUUGGUGAGGUAAUGGCCCACCAAGGCGAUUACAGGUACGGGCUCUGAGAGGAGAAGCCCGGAGAUGGGUACUGAGACACGGACCCAGGCCCUAUGGGGCGCAGCAGGCGAGAAAACUUUGCAAUGUGCGAAAGCACGACAAGGUUAAUCCGAGUGAUUUCUGCUAAAGAAAUCUUUUGCCAGUCGUAAAACCGCUGGUGAAUAAGGGGUGGGCAAGUUCUGGUGUCAGCCGCCGCGGUAAAACCAGCACCUCAAGUGGUCAGGAUGAUUAUUGGGCCUAAAGCAUCCGUAGCCUGCUUUGUAAGUUUUCGGUUAAAUCCAUGUGCUCAACGCAUGGGCUGCCGAAAAUACUGCAUAGCUAGGGAGUGGGAGAGGUAGACGGUACUCAGUAGGUAGGGGUAAAAUCCUU
rnacentral:rRNA from 1 species